UUCUGCCUUAUAUACUAACUCUGCAACCUACUUUCCAAAUAACAUGUGACUCUAUUUUAAGAAUAAACUAUGAUGAGUGCCAAAAGUGAGUAAGUAUAGGGGUUGUGAUACUAACAAAGAUGAUCUAAACAAAGAUGAUCUAAUCUUAUCUUUGAAAUUAGAGAAAGUGCCCCUUUAAAAGUCACGAGGUUAAAAGUAAAAUGCUGAGAAAAUGAAACACAUCUGAAGGCUGGGGAA